rnacentral:rRNA from 1 species
GACGGGGACCCGCACAAGCGGUGGAUGAUGUGGUUUAAUUCGAUGCAACGCGAAAACCUUACCCACCUUUGACAUGUACGGAAUCCUUUAGAGAUAGAGGAGUGCUCGAAAGAGAGCCGUAACACAGGUGCUGCAUGGCUGUCGUCAGCUCGUGUCGUGAGAUGUUGGGUUAAGUCCCGCAACGAGCGCAACCCUUGUCAUUAGUUGCUACGAAAGGGCACUCUAAUGAGACUGCCGGUGACAAACCGGAGGAAGGUGGGAUGACGUCAAGUCCUCAUGGCCCUUAUAGGUGGGGCUACACACGUCAUACAAUGGCUGGUACAAAGGGUUGCCAACCCGCGAGGGGGAGCCAAUCCCAUAAAGCCAGUCGUAGUCCGGAUCGCAGUCUGCAACUCGACUGCGUGAAGUCGGAAUCGCUAGUAAUCGUGGAUCAGCAUGUCACGGUGAAUACGUUCCCGGGUCUU